rnacentral:ncRNA from 1 species
GAAUAUUUGCCACCGGGCAAAGUGAUGCACGAGCAUCCGUAACACAUCGUUAGGUCUUUGAAGAUGUGUAAGCGGGUGCUUGUUUAUUU